rnacentral:rRNA from 1 species
UGGGGGAAACCCUGAUGCAGCGACGCAGCGUGCGGGAUGACGGCCUUCGGGUUGUAAACCGCUUUCAGCAGGGAAGAAGCGCAAGUGACGGUACCUGCAGAAGAAGUACCGGCUAACUACGUGCCAGCAGCCGCGGUAAUACGUAGGGUACGAGCGUUGUCCGGAAUUAUUGGGCGUAAAGAGCUCGUAGGUGGUUGGUCACGUCUGCUGUGGAAACGCAACGCUUAACGUUGCGCGUGCAGUGGGUACGGGCUGACUAGAGUGCAGUAGGGGAGUCUGGAAUUCCUGGUGUAGCGGUGAAAUGCGCAGAUAUCAGGAGGAACACCGGUGGCGAAGGCGGGAC